rnacentral:lncRNA from 1 species
UUCAAGAUGGUGCAAGUCUUAUCAAGUCAAACAAGGAGAAAUAAAGAAGACUUUAUUUUAGAAGGAAUCCUAUUUUUAUAACAAUUGUAAUUAUUCCUUAGGUAGGAUUUCUAGGAGGUUUAUAAAUAGGGAGUUUAGGUCAUUGUUGAAGGGAUCCAUUACCCAUCAUCCAUCCUCCAUCAUCUACCCUAAAAUUCCUACACAUUCAUACUCAUCACCGAAACACUCAAAGGAGAGAGAGAGAGUUUUAGAGAGACAAAGAAGACAAC